rnacentral:lncRNA from 1 species
ACAAGAGUGAUUUUGUUGAAAAAUGUAACAUAGCAUAGUCAACUCUCUCUCAACAUUUAUAAAAGACAGACAUAAUACAAUUGAAAGCAAAAUCCAAGAGGAAGCAUUUGGACCAGACAGGAAUCAUGCCCAUACCAACAAUUUUGAAGACAUGGACAAGAUGAUGUAGUGAUUUCUGGAUAAGCAUGCCAAGAACAUUGAAUUGCUUUCAUUGGCCUCCAGUGCAUUUACCACAAAGACCUUGGAUAUCUGUGGAAGCAGGAAGAGCCAACCCCAUGUGGAUGAAGUACCAGUUCUCUACAGGAUGUGGUGUGAAAAUCACAGAAAUCUCCAAGUGGAAAUCCAGAGAUUAAGGGCAUCAUUGAAUCAAUCAGGAACUCAGCUGAAACAAACCUACACUGUAAGACAUACUGGACCUCAUGACGCAACCAGCCCCAGUUACUGACUGUGCUAGAGAAAAUUUUGAGCUGCUGGAGCAGGUUUGGAAACCAGAAAGAGAAAAGGCUUCAAUAGCACACUAUUUCAUCUACCCUGGUAAAGUGGUGGUUUCUAAUUGUCAACAGAUCAGAAAGUUCAGUACCACAGGACAGACACACUCAGACUUUUCUGAAUAA